UACGUAGGGUGCGAGCGUUGCCCGGAUUUAUUGGGCGUAAAGGGCGCGUAGGCGGCCACGCACGUCCGUUGUGAAAUCGCCCGGCUCAACUGGGCGGGGUCGGCGGAUACGGCGUGGCUGGAGCAAGCUAGGGGGCAAUGGAAUUCCCGGUGUAGUGGUGGAAUGCGUAGAUAUCGGGAGGAACACCAGUGGCGAAGGCGACUUCCUGGCCUGUUCUUGACGCUGAGGCGCGAAAGCUAGGGGAGCAAACGGG
rnacentral:rRNA from 1 species